rnacentral:lncRNA from 1 species
AUUCAGGAUUUGGUUAAAGUCUGUUGAGAAUCAGUUAGACAAGAAACUUAAAACGUUAAGAACUGAUAAUGGGUUUGAAUUCUGUAAUAGCGAAUUUGACAAUUUCUGCAAGCAGAAAGGUAUAACAAGACACAGAACUGUUAAAUACACACCUGAACAAAAUGGGGUCGCUGAAAGAAUGAACAGGACCAUAAUGAACAAAGUUAGGUGCAUGUUGAUUAGCUCUGGCCUUGCGAAAGGUUUUUGGGCUGAAGCUGCAAGUACUGCAGCUUAUCUGAUUAAUAGGUCUCCGUCAAGCAGUAUAAGGUUUAAGACCCCACAGGAGUUGUGGACGGGAGAGCCUCCAAAUCUGGAACACUUGAGGGUGUUUGGAUGUGCUGCAUAUGCACAUCAAUCUGAAGGGAAACUUGAGCCCAGGGCUGUCAAGUGUGUGAUGUUAGGAUAUCCCGAGGGUGUGAAGGGCUAUAGGUUAUGGGUUUUAGGGGUCCAAGGCAUUAAGAUUAUUAACAACAGGAAUGUAGUCUUUAAUGAAUCUGAGAUGCCAUGUCUAAAACAGAAAAUCGAAGAAGCUAACAAAUCUGAAACUGAGAAGAGUAUUCAGUCGGAGGUGAAGCUGACUAGGCUAAAUUCACCUACACCUGGGAAUGACGAAAAUGACCCUAUACAUCAUGAAAAUGAAAUUGAACCUGAACCUGAACAUGAAGAGGUGACUGAACUUCAAGAUAACAUUGAACCAGUUGAAGUUGAACAUUUUAAUGAUCAGCCACCUAAUCAAGAUUAUCAGCUUACUAGGGAUCGGGGGAGGAGGCAGAUCAGGCCAAAUCCUAGAUAUGAAUCCCUAAACUUGACUGAUUUUGCCUUAGUUUCAGGUGAAGCCUUGAACAGAUAGAACCUGCUAGUUAUGAAGAAGCUGUUAAUGGAAAAUGUUUUGAAAAUUGGCUAAAAGCUAUGCAGGAAGAAAUGGAAUCUCUAAUGGAGAAUAAAACUUGGAAGUUAGUUAACAAACCUAAGGAUCAUAGGAUAGUUUAAUGUAAUUGGAUUUGGAAAUUGAAAGAUGGGAAUAAUUCUAGUGUUGAUAAUGCUGCUAUUGCUACUGAAUUUAAUAGUUUGCAUGUCAUGAAUGUGUCUGAAGAAGAAUUUGACAAAAAUUGGAUUCUUGACACAGGGUGCACUUUCCAUAUGUGCCCUGAUAGGUCUUGGUUUUAUAACUAUAGGGAGACUGAACCUAGGAAGGUCUACAUGGGAGACAAUAAUUCUCAAAAUGUGAUUGGAGUUGGUGACAUAGCCAUCAGGAUGUACGAUGGGGCCGUCACGCAACUUAGAAAUGUUAGAUAUGUCCCAAAUUUAAAGAGGAACCUCAUUUCCUUAGGUUUUCUGGAAGAUGAGGGAUAUACCUUCAAGUCUGGUAACAAGAUUUUGAAAAUUAUGAAGGGUUCUCUUAUAAUUAUGAAGGGGCCCAAGAGGAAUGGGUUGUACUAUCUUGAGGGUAGAACUGAAAUACCAUUUGAUUCUAGCCUUCUUGCUGUGAGUAAAGACAAAACUGAACUCUGGCAUAAAAGAAUGGGUCACAUUGGGUUUAAAAGUCUAAAAUCUUUAAGUAAUCAGAAAUUACUUGGAAAAGAUGACAUUGAAACUAUGGAAUUCUGUGAAACUUGUGUUUUGGGUAAGUCUCAUAAGGUGAGCUUUGAAGCUAGCUCUCAUAGGACCAGCAGACCAUUGGACUAUGUCCAUGCUGAUCUAUGGGGCCCGGAGAAGCACUCCACAUUUGGUGGGAGCAAGUACUUCUUGUCCUUAGUGGAUGAUUACUCAAGAAAAGUUUGGAUUUAUCUUUUGACGGCUAAGUCGGAAACUUUUGGGAAAUUCAGGAUUUGGUUAAAGUCUGUUGAGAAUCAGUUAGACAAGAAACUUAAAACGUUAAGAACUGAUAAUGGGUUUGAAUUCUGUAAUAGCGAAUUUGACAAUUUCUGCAAGCAGAAAGGUAUAACAAGACACAGAACUGUUAAAUACACACCUGAACAAAAUGGGGUCGCUGAAAGAAUGAAC